rnacentral:rRNA from 1 species
UACGUAGGGGGCUAGCGUUGUCCGGAUUUAUUGGGCGUAAAGCGCGUGUAGGCGGCUUUGCAAGUCGGGUGUGAAAGCCCUCAGCUCAACUGAGGAAGUGCGCCCGAAACUGCAGAGCUUGAGUGCCGGAGAGGGUGGCGGAAUUCCCCAAGUAGAGGUGAAAUUCGUAGAUAUGGGGAGGAACACCGGUGGCGAAGGCGGCCACCUGGACCGGUACUGACGCUGAUGCGCGAAAGCGUGGGGAGCAAACGGG